UACGUAGGGUGCGAGCGUUGUCCGGAAUUAUUGGGCGUAAAGAGCUCGUAGGCGGUUUGUCGCGUCGGCCGUGAAAACUUGGGGCUUAACCCCGAGCCUGCGGUCGAUACGGGCAGACUUGAGUUCGGCAGGGGAGACUGGAAUUCCUGGUGUAGCGGUGAAAUGCGUGGAUAUCGAGAAGAACACUAACGGCGUAAGCAAGACUCUGGACAAGUGUUGACGCUCAUGCACGAAGGCUAGGGUAGCGAACGGG
rnacentral:rRNA from 1 species